GUCGUGAGAUGUUGGGUUAAGUCCCGCAACGAGCGCAACCCCCGUCGCAUGUUGCCAGCAUUUAGUUGGGGACUCAUGCGAGACUGCCGGUGACAAACCGGAGGAAGGUGGGGAUGACGUCAAGUCCUCAUGCCCCUUAUGUUCAGGGCUACACACGUGCUACAUUGGCGCAUACAGAGGGCUGCGAUACCGCGAGGUGGAGCGAAUCCCUUAAAGUGCGUCUCGGUUCGGAUUGCAGGCUGAAAUUCGCCUGCAUGAAGGCGGAGUUGCUAGUAAUCGCGGAUCAGCACUGCCGCGGUGAAUACGUUCCCGGGCCUUGUACACACCGCCCGUCACACCACGGGAGUGAGCAACACCCGAAGCCGGUGGCCUAACCCUUUUGGGAGGGAGCCGUCGAAGGUGGGGCUCGUGACUGGGGUGAAGUCGUAACAAGGUAGCCGUAGCGGAAGCUGCGGCUGGAUCACCUCCUUUCUAGGGAGCACCUAGCGGUGCCCCGGUCCAGGAUCCGUCAGGAUCCGCGCGGUCGCAGUGGCCUAUGCCGCCGCGACGUCUAUGCAGACCGGGCCUAGCAUGUCGACCGAACCUGGCUGGGCGCGUCCUGCCGCAUCGCUUCUCUCCUGCUUGAGGAGCGACCCGGCCGGGCGGCAACAAUCAACCUCCAGCAUGCUGUUGAGUUUUGAGAGACCGGCGUCCGCCGUUUGUUAGCGGACGUGAGCCUCCCAGGCGGUCCUUGAAAACUGCACAGAAGCCACUCAGCCGCCAACGAUAAGCGGCGGCUGAAAAACGGGUAUCACCGGACCCGGCGUAUGCCGGGUCUGAUCACCGUCAAGAUAUUAAGGGCACACGGUGGAUGCCUUGGCACCAAGAGUCGAUGAAGGGCGUGAACGGCUGCGAUAAGCCACGGUGAGGCGCUGAAUAGCCUUUGACCCGUGGAUGC
rnacentral:sRNA from 1 species